CACGUAGGGCGCGAGCGUUGUCCGGAAUUAUUGGGCGUAAAGAGCUCGUAGGCGGCCUGUUGCGUCCGCUGUGAAAGCCCGGGGCUUAACCCCGGGUCGGCAGUGGAUACGGGCAGGCUAGAGGUAGGUAGGGGAGAAUGGAAUUCCCGGUGUAGCGGUGAAAUGCGCAGAUAUCGGGAGGAACACCGGUGGCGAAGGCGGUUCUCUGGGACGGUACUGACGCUGAGACGCGAAAGCUAGGGGAGCGAACAGG
rnacentral:rRNA from 1 species